AAUGUUUUUUCUUUUUCCAGAUGUUUUUGGUAUCAAUGAGCUUACCAUGUAUGAGGGAGAAUGGAAUGAAGAAGUCUACUGUGUUUCAGGAGAUAUUUUGGACGGUAUGAUGUAUGACCUUCUGAUGAAUAUGUUGGAGGAGAGAGGAGUCACAAAUGAAUUCGCAGACAAGCUGAGCAAUGUCUGCUCCGACUAUGAGCAUUAUAUGUAUGUUAACUUGCUUCAAAAAGUACAGGACUUUGUCAAGAGGAAAUAAAUGGGAAACAAGACAAUCACAAUUUCAUCAAACCCCAAGUUUCAAGUUAGAGGGAUGGUCUGCCUUGAAAACUUAACCAUUCAUGUUCAUUCUAAAUAUGUAUGUAUUGGAUAUGGUUCCUGUAUUUAGUUUGACAAUUGAAGCUUCUUUUUUUUGUGAUAUAAAGUCAAAUUUUGAUCAUUCAUACCACAAGAACAUUACAAACUUUAUAUGUUCAUAGUUUGUUUUAUGUUAUACAAGUUAUGUUUAUAUUGACUGAGGAAUGGUAUUGUCUUUGCAGAAGGCAAGACAGUGUAAUUAAUAUGUACAGAAGAAACCUAGUUUAUAUGUUCAUGUGUAUUUCUUAAUAAAUACCAAAAAAUAA
rnacentral:lncRNA from 1 species